CGGUGGCGGAGCGUCGUUUGCGACGCCCAACACACAAAACAAGCGGUGAGUGCUUUGGGGUGGGGUGACUGCGUACCUUUUGUAUAAUGGGUCAGCGACUUAUAUUCUGUAGCAAGGUUAACCGAAUAGGGGAGCCGGAGGGAAACCGAGUCUUAAUUGGGCGUUAAGUUGCAGGGUAUAGACCCGAAACCCGGUGAUCUAGCCAUGGGCAGGUUGAAGGUUGGGUAACACUAACUGGAGGACCGAACCGACUAAUGUUGAAAAAUUAGCGGAUGACCUGUGGCUGGGGGUGAAAGGCCAAUCAAACCGGGAGAUAGCUGGUUCUCCCCGAAAGCUAUUUAGGUAGCGCCUCGUGAAUUCAUCUCCGGGGGUAGAGCACUGUUUCGGCUAGGGGGCCAUCCCGGCUUACCAACCCGAUGCAAACUGCGAAUACCGGAGAAUGUUAUCACGGGAGACACACGGCGGGUGCUAACGUCCGUCGUGAAGAGGGAAACAACCCAGACCGCCAGCUAAGGUCCCAAAGUCAUGGUUAAGUGGGAAACGAUGUGGGAAGGCCCAGACAGCCAGGAUGUUGGCUUAGAAGCAGCCAUCAUUUAAAGAAAGCGUAAUAGCUCACUGGUCGAGUCGGCCUGCGCGGAAGAUGUAACGGGGCUAAACCAUGCACCGAAGCUGCGGCAGCGACACUCAGGUGUUGUUGGGUAGGG
rnacentral:rRNA from 1 species